AAUCAUGAACAGGUGCUACCACUAAACAUACAAGGAGGGAGAGGAAAAACAAUCAGUGGCAGCUAAUAGGCCGGUGACGACGACCGCCGAGCGCCAACCGCCCGGGAAGGGGAAACACCCUCGGUCGGACUCGUGACAGUGUGUAAGGUGUAUAUAUGGUCAGUAGUGUGAUGGUGUUUAUUAAUUAGUGUGUGAGGUGUAUAUAUGGUCAGUAGUGUGAUGGUGUUUAUUAAUUAGUGUGUGUAAGGUGUAUAUAUGGUCAGUAGUGUGGUGGUGUUUAUUAAUUAGUGUGUGAGGUGUAUAUAUGGUCAGUAGUGUGAUGGUGUUUAUUAAUUAGUGUGUGUGAGGUGUAUAUAUGGUCAGUAGUGUGAUGGUGUUUAUUAAUUAGUGUGUGUAAGGUGUAUAUAUGGUCAGUAGUGUGAUGGUGUUUAUUAAUUAGUGUGUGAGGUGUAUAUAUGGUCAGUAGUGAGAUGGUGUUUAUUAAUUAGUGUGUGUAAGGUGUAUAUAUGGUCAGUAGUGUGAUGGUGUUUAUUAAUUAGUGUGUGAGGUGUAUAUAUGGUCAGUAGUGUGAUGGUGUUUAUUAAUUAGUGUGUGUAAGGUGUAUAUAUGGUCAGUAGUGUGGUGGUGUUUAUUAAUUAGUGUGUGAGGUGUAUAUAUGGUCAGUAGUGUGAUGGUGUUUAUUAAUUAGUGUGUGUGAGGUGUAUAUAUGGUCAGUAGUGAGAUGGUGUUUAUUAAUUAGUGUGUGAGGUGUAUAUAUGGUCAGUAGUGUGAUGGUGUUUAUUAAUUAGUGUGUGAGGUGUAUAUAUGGUCAGUAGUGAGGUGGUGUUUAUUAAUUAGUGUGUGUAAGGUGUAUAUAUGGUCAGUAGUGAGGUGGUGUUUAUUAAUUAGUGUGUGUAAGGUGUAUAUAUGGUCAGUAGUGAGAUGGUGUUUAUUAAUUAGUGUGUGUCAGGUGUAUAUAUGGUCAGUAGUGAGAUGGUGUUUAUUAAUUAGUGUGUGUCAGGUGUAUAUAUGGUCAGUAGUGUGAUGGUGUUUAUUAAUUAGUGUGUGUAAGGUGUAUAUAUGGUCAGUAGUGAGAUGGUGUUUAUUAAUUAGUGUGUGAGGUGUAUAUAUGGUCAGUAGUGUGAUGGUGUUUAUUAAUUAGUGUGUGAGGUGUAUAUAUGGUCAGUAGUGAGGUGGUGUUUAUUAAUUAGUGUGUGUAAGGUGUAUAUAUGGUCAGUAGUGAGGUGGUGUUUAUUAAUUAGUGUGUGUGAGGUGUAUAUAUGGUCAGUAGUGUGAUGGUGUUUAUUAAUUAGUGUGUGAGGUGUAUAUAUGGUCAGUAGUGAGAUGGUGUUUAUUAAUUAGUGUGUGUAAGGUGUAUAUAUGGUCAGUAGUGAGGUGGUGUUUAUUAAUUAGUGUGUGUAAGGUGUAUAUAUGGUCAGUAGUGUGAUGGUGUUUAUUAAUUAGUGUGUGUAAGGUGUAUAUAUGGUCAGUAGUGAGAUGGUGUUUAUUAAUUAGUGUGUGUAAGGUGUAUAUAUGGUCAGUAGUGUGAUGGUGUUUAUUAAUUAGUGUGUGUAAGGUGUAUAUAUGGUCAGUAGUGAGAUGGUGUUUAUUAAUUAGUGUGUGUAAGGUGUAUAUAUGGUCAGUAGUGUGAUGGUGUUUAUUAAUUAGUGUGUGUAAGGUGUAUAUAUGGUCAGUAGUGAGAUGGUGUUUAUUAAUUAGUGUGUGUAAGGUGUAUAUAUGGUCAGUAGUGAGAUGGUGUUUAUUAAUUAGUGUGUGUAAGGUGUAUAUAUGGUCAGUAGUGUGAUGGUGUUUAUUAAUUAGUGUGUGAGGUGUAUAUAUGGUCAGUAGUGAGAUGGUGUUUAUUAAUUAGUGUGUGUGAGGUGUAUAUAUGGUCAGUAGUGUGAUGGUGUUUAUUAAUUAGUGUGUGAGGUGUAUAUAUGGUCAGUAGUGAGAUGGUGUUUAUUAAUUAGUGUGUGUAAGGUGUAUAUAUGGUCAGUAGUGUGAUGGUGUUUAUUAAUUAGUGUGUGUGAGGUGUAUAUAUGGUCAGUAGUGCGAUGGUGUUUAUUAAUUAGUGUGUGUAAGGUGUAUAUAUGGUCAGUAGUGAGAUGGUGUUUAUUAAUUAGUGUGUGUGAGGUGUAUAUAUGGUCAGUAGUGUGAUGGUGUUUAUUAAUUAGUGUGUGAGGUGUAUAUAUGGUCAGUAGUGAGAUGGUGUUUAUUAAUUAGUGUGUGUAAGGUGUAUAUAUGGUCAGUAGUGAGGUGGUGUUUAUUAAUUAGUGUGUGUAAGGUGUAUAUAUGGUCAGUAGUGUGAUGGUGUUUAUUAAUUAGUGUGUGUAAGGUGUAUAUAUGGUCAGUAGUGAGAUGGUGUUUAUUAAUUAGUGUGUGUAAGGUGUAUAUAUGGUCAGUAGUGUGAUGGUGUUUAUUAAUUAGUGUGUGUAAGGUGUAUAUAUGGUCAGUAGUGAGAUGGUGUUUAUUAAUUAGUGUGUGUAAGGUGUAUAUAUGGUCAGUAGUGUGAUGGUGUUUAUUAAUUAGUGUGUGUAAGGUGUAUAUAUGGUCAGUAGUGAGAUGGUGUUUAUUAAUUAGUGUGUGUAAGGUGUAUAUAUGGUCAGUAGUGAGAUGGUGUUUAUUAAUUAGUGUGUGUAAGGUGUAUAUAUGGUCAGUAGUGUGAUGGUGUUUAUUAAUUAGUGUGUGAGGUGUAUAUAUGGUCAGUAGUGAGAUGGUGUUUAUUAAUUAGUGUGUGUAAGGUGUAUAUAUGGUCAGUAGUGUGAUGGUGUUUAUUAAUUAGUGUGUGUAAGGUGUAUAUAUGGUCAGUAGUGAGAUGGUGUUUAUUAAUUAGUGUGUGUAAGGUGUAUAUAUGGUCAGUAGUGUGAUGGUGUUUAUUAAUUAGUGUGUGUAAGGUGUAUAUAUGGUCAGUAGUGAGAUGGUGUUUAUUAAUUAGUGUGUGUAAGGUGUAUAUAUGGUCAGUAGUGUGAUGGUGUUUAUUAAUUAGUGUGUGUAAGGUGUAUAUAUGGUCAGUAGUGAGAUGGUGUUUAUUAAUUAGUGUGUGUCAGGUGUAUAUAUGGUCAGUAGUGUGAUGGUGUUUAUUAAUUAGUGUGUGUAAGGUGUAUAUAUGGUCAGUAGUGUGAUGGUGUUUAUUAAUUAGUGUGUAAGGUGUAUAUAUGGUCAGUAGUGUGAUGGUGUUUAUUAAUUAGUGUGUAAGGUGUAUAUAUGGUCAGUAGUGCGAUGGUGUUUAUUAAUUAGUGUGUGUAAGGUGUAUAUAUGGUCAGUAGUGCGAUGGUUAGGAAGAAAGCCAAUUUGACAUUUACUUAUUACAUUUUUUUCUUGAAGAAAGGUUUGAAUUCUUGAAUUCAAAAUGCUACAUAAAACCUUUCCCAAAGUUACUGUUGACGCAAAUUCCCCUGUAAUUAUUGGGGUCUGAUUUGUCUCCACUUUUGUGGAUAGGGGAGAUGAGCCCCUGGUUCCAGACAUCAGGGAAGCAGCCAGAAGUUAAAACCAUGUUGAACAAUUUAAGCACAGCAUUUUGCAACUCAGGUGUGCUGUUUUUCAGCAUUUCAUUUCUGAUGUUGUCUACACCACAAGCCUUUUUUGAUUUAAUAGAUUUUAGCUUUUCAUUUAG